rnacentral:rRNA from 1 species
GUGCCAGCAGCCGCGGUAAUACCGGCAGCCCAAGUGAUGGCCGAUCUUAUUGGGCCUAAAGCGUCCGUAGCCGGCCGGACAAGUCCGUUGGGAAAUCCACGCGCUCAACGCGUGGGCGUCCAGCGGAAACUGUCCGGCUUGGGGCCGGAGGACUCGAGGGGUACGUUUAGGGUAGGAGUGAAAUCCUGUAAUCCUGGACGGACCGCCGGUGGCGAAAGCGCCUCGGGAAGACGGACCCGACAGUGAGGGACGAAAGCUGGGAUCUCGAACCGGAUUAGAAACCCUGGUAGUCC